rnacentral:rRNA from 1 species
CGGGACACGUGGUAUCCUGUCUGAAUAUGGGGGGACCAUCCUCCAAGGCUAAAUACUCCUGACUGACCGAUAGUGAACCAGUACCGUGAGGGAAAGGCGAAAAGAACCCCGGCGAGGGGAGUGAAAAAGAACCUGAAACCGUGUACGUACAAGCAGUGGGAGCACGCUUAGGCGUGUGACUGCGUACCUUUUGUAUAAUGGGUCAGCGACUUAUAUUCUGUAGCAAGGUUAACCGAAUAGGGGAGCCGAAGGGAAACCGAGUCUUAACUGGGCGUUAAGUUGCAGGGUAUAGACCCGAAACCCGGUGAUCUAGCCAUGGGCAGGUUGAAGGUUGGGUAACACUAACUGGAGGACCGAACCGACUAAUGUUGAAAAAUUAGCGGAUGACUUGUGGCUGGGGGUGAAAGGCCAAUCAAACCGGGAGAUAGCUGGUUCUCCCCGAAAGCUAUUUAGGUAGCGCCUCGUGAAUUCAUCUCCGGGGGUAGAGCACUGUUUCGGCAAGGGGGUCAUCCCGACUUACCAACCCGAUGCAAACUGCGAAUACCGGAGAAUGUUAUCACGGGAGACACACGGCGGGUGCUAACGUCCGUCGUGAAGAGGGAAACAACCCAGACCGCCAGCUAAGGUCCCAAAGUCAUGGUUAAGUGGGAAACGAUGUGGGAAGGCCCAGACAGCCAGGAUGUUGGCUUAGAAGCAGCCAUCAUUUAAAGAAAGCGUAAUAGCUCACUGGUCGAGUCGGCCUGCGCGGAAGAUGUAACGGGGCUAAACCAUGCACCGAAGCUGCGGCAGCGACGCUU